rnacentral:tRNA from 1 species
AUUUAAAUAGCUUAUAUUUAGAGUUUAAUAUUGAAGAUAUUAGGGAAAUUGAUUAAUUUUUAAAUA